GGGCGCUUAGCUCAGUUGGUUAGAGCGCACGGUUCACAUCCGUGAGGUUCGGAGGUUCGAGUCCUCUAGCGCCCA
rnacentral:tRNA from 2 species